UGAGGAAUAUUGCGCAAUGGGCGCAAGCCUGACGCAGCGACGCCGCGUGGGGGAUGAAGGGCUUCGGCUUGUAAACCCCUUUCGGGGGGGAAGACGGUCGUAUACCCAUACGACGGACGGUACCCCCAGAAGCAGCCACGGCUAACUUCGUGCCAGCAGCCGCGGUAAUACGAAGGUGGCAAGCGUUGUUCGGAUUUACUGGGCGUAAAGGGAGCGUAGGUGGUCGGGUAAGCCCCGCGGGAAAGCUCCAGGCUUAACCUGGAAAGGUCGCGGGGGACUGCUCGGCUAGAGGACGGGAGAGGAGCGCGGAAUUCCCGGUGUAGCGGUGAAAUGCGUAGAGAUCGGGAGGAAGGCCGGUGGCGAAGGCGGCGCUCUGGAACGGCCCUGACACUGAGGCUCGAAAGCGUGGGGAGCAAACAGG
rnacentral:rRNA from 1 species